AUACGGAGGGAGCAAGCGUUAUUCGGAAUCACUGGGCGUAAAGGACGCGUAGGCGGGUUUGUAAGUCAGGUGUGAAAUCCUACAGCUCAACUGUAGAACUGCACUUGAAACUACAGACCUAGAGUAUGGAAGGGGCAGAUGGAAUUAGUGGUGUAGGGGCAAAAUCCGUAGAUAUCACUAGGAAUACCGAAAGCGAAGGCGAUCUGCUGGGACAUUACUGACGCUGAGGCGUGAAAGCGUGGGGAGCAAACAGGAUUAGAUACCCUAGUAGUCC
rnacentral:rRNA from 1 species